CCGAUUGAAGUUUGUCAAUAUUAUUAUGUAUUAAUACACAUCAAAAAUAUCAAUUUCAUGACUUUCUAACGUCAAACUAAACGACAUUAGUCGUUGCAAAGCGAUGAAUAUUGAUCACCAUACUAUUUGUGAAAGAACCCAGCAAUUUCAUUUUUAGUAGAGAUAAUAAAUAAAUGUAUUAUUUAACUGUCUCAACUAAAAUUUUAAUAAUGCAUGUCCUACCUGAAAUAAUACAUACAAAACACACUAAAAGACGCUAAUUGUCACAUAAGAGACACGGUUUUAAAUAUUUUAAAUAAUAAAAAAUGAAAAAUAUAAAGAAAAUAUUUUUCUCCACACAAAACAGAGUCUUAAUAGUGUUAAUUAACUCUAGGGAAAAAAAAUUAAUUUCCUUUUGGAAAAGUUAUCUGGAUUCAUACCAUAUUUUUUUAUUUCUCCUUAUAAUUUAAAAUAAUUACAUAUCAUCUCAUUAAUUAAUAAUUUCAUAUCAAAUUUUAAAUUACAUUCACCUAUAUAUAUAUUUUUUCUAAUCAAAUAUAUUAAAAUUGAAAAACAAAACUAUCUAGAUCCCAAAUACUUACUUAUCAUGUUUACCGCCAACUAACAAACGUCAACGCUUUAAAUUAGUUUGAACAUAUUCUUUUUACAGGCCUUUUAAUAUUAGUAGUAAUUAUCAAUAGAUAAUUUCGAUUACUUUAUUUGCAUUUAAAUAGUAAUAAUAACAAUAAUAAGGGAUAGCAAAUUUAAGUCCAAUCAAUCCAAUUUAUUUAAGUUUUGGCGUAUUAUAAACUCAAUACGUUCUAACCUAUUAAAAAUUAGGUUGAAUGUAACUUAAAUUACUUUACGAAAUUUUGUCAAAAUAUUUUUAAAAGUAAAUUAAGUUAUAUAUAAGAAAAAAUUAUCUAAAUAUACUAUACAAAACUCAUUUUACAAUAUUCUCUAAAAUUUCCUAUCAUCUGAAAAAAUUACAAAAAUCCCUAUUUUACGGGAUGUAUUAGUCGGAUACAUCCAUUUAUGUGAUGUACCGUGACGUACGGGAUGUAUCAGGGCGUUACUUUAUGCGAUGUAAUGGUCGGAUACGUCACUUUACGCAAUGAAUCAAAAGAUUUCGUGAUGUAUCCAAAAUCGCCAUGUGAUGUAUUAGGACAUUGAAGAAUGCAUUCAAAAUCGGAACGCAAUGUAUUGGGACAUUUUGGGAUAUAUUCGAAUUCUACUAAAUUUAAAAAAUCUUUAUAAUUUGAAAAAGAAUAGAAAUAUAAUGUAAUUAGUUCUUAACACUAUUGAAUUUGUGUAAUAUCUAUAAUAUAUAACUACAAUAAAUGAAAAGAUUAUCUUAUUAGGUACUAACAUAUUAUAAAAGAUAAAAAAAAACAAUUAAACAUUAUAAAAAUUGAACAGGAUUGGGUUUUGACCAGUGCUAUAAUUUAUUAUUUGAUCCGUUUUGAUCCAAAUAAAUUUAAAUUGAAUUGAGUCUUAACGCAUUUUGUUAUUUUGACCCAUUAUAACCCAUUUCAAUUUGACCCAACACACUCAAUUGUCACCCCUAAUCCACAAGUACAAUUAGAAGAAAAAUCGUAAAAAAAACAUUCAUCAUGUAUUAUUUAAAUCGGAAAAAAAAUAUCGAUAAUAAGAGAUAAUGGAUUAGUAUCUCACUCUAUUGAACAAGACAUAAAAACAAAUGUUCCAUCAAGAAAAUGAGUAAUCUAAUAUUAUUUUGUAAUAUGAUAUGCAGCAUUAUUAUCUUUUACUAUUCUUUUCUUUAUUUGUAUUGUAUAUGUAUAUUAUAUGUAUCUAUUUUAAUAAAAUUAUGUUUUAUAGUAAUAAUCACAUGUAAUUAGAAAUAAAAAAGUAGGAAGCUUUUUAGGUGAAAGAAAAAGAGAAAGAAGCUUUUAAAAAGCAGUAAUAUAUAUCUCAUGUCAUAGAGAAGGUGAUGGCAGCGGCUACUAGGCCACGUGGUGGAUCAAUAGUGAAUACGUGGCGCCAUGCAUGAACCUCAAAGGUUGAUCCCAUUUCUCCUCUACCCACCUCUCUACAACUCUACGCCGUCCGUGAAUUCGGCGAUUCAACGAGGCGGCGUAUUCCAUCAAGGAGUAGCUUUUAGUUUCUACACUAACUUAAUGAACAAAAGACGUUUUUGGUGGAUAUUUCUUCCUCGUAAUUAUAAUCAGUUGCGUAGCCAGAAAGUUCACGAAUGGUGUUCAAGAAUUGUACGAGUAUAUAUAUAUAUAUAUAUUGGAUAAAUGAGUGUACUAGAAAUUUUAAAAUUAAACUAAGUAAUAUACAUGAAAAUUUUAAAAUUAAACUAUGUAAUAUACAUGAAAAAAAUUGAAAAAAGAGGCUUAAAACUACGUAAUAUACAUGAAAAAAUUUGAAAAAAAGAGGCUUAAAACUACGUAAUAUACAUGAAAUUUUUUGAAAAAAAGAGUCUUAAAACUACUUUUUUUGAUGACAAGGGAAAUCCGCAGCCGCAACCCUUUCGGUGCGCACAGGAUAAAAGAAGGCUUAAAACUACUUCUAGCGAGAUUUGAACUCACUAAGGCUUAAAAGUUUGGCUCUUUCAAGGCACCUAAAAUUACUAGACUACAACACAUUGUUGUCUUAAGGGUGUCCAGAAUACUUUAUUUAACCACUUUCUAUAUCGUUUUUCGUUAAUAUACGAUAUAAUUUUUCGACAAAGAAUGUCCAAUUGGACACCCUAACACUAAUGUAGCUACGCCCCUGAUUAUAAUGUACAACAUCACUAUAUUAAAAUAUCCUCACAUUUCCUGAAAUAUAUUAAAAGCCUACCUUUAUUUUACAUUAAAAAUCAUUUCAAUCGAAAUCAAAAUAAAAAUUAUCCAUACAUUUAAGGAUCAUUUUGAUCAUUUUCUCUUUUUAACCACCAACAACCAUGAUUAAUCAUUAAUGUUAUUUACUAUACUACUUUCUUUUUCCUAAUUUAUAUAACAAAUUUCAAAUUUCAAAAUUAUAAUAAAUCUAUUUUUGGCAGUAAAAUUUUCAUAUUUAAAAAAUAUUUUGAAUUGUCAAUAAUUGACAAUUAUAAUACUUUCUUAGUUUACCAAUAUAAUAUUUUCAUUUUAAAAUAUUGAAGAUCCCAUAAGCAAAUUAUCAGUUAAACUUAAACUGUAUGAUUCUUGAAAAACUAAAUUUAUCAUAUAAAUUGAAACGAAAAAAAGUAUAAGAUACUAUGACAACCAAUGUUGUUAAUCAAUAUUAUCACAAAUCAACACACAUAAUCACCAUCAUUAAUCAACGCACACAAUUAUCAUCGAUGCUAUCACCGUCAAUAAUCAUAAAAUUUUCAUUGACAUUAUUUGAGAUCGACUUAAUAUUUUAUUUAAAUUUAAUUUUUACUAUUUUUUAGAUAAUGACACAAGUUAUACAUUUAAAUGUUGAGAAAAUAAAUAAUCUCAACUAAAAUAAUUUAAAUUUUAAUACACAUCUUAAUAGUUAAAUAUAUAUCCAAAUAUUUUAAUUUAAUAGAAACAACUUAGUCCUAAGCUCUCGAAAAUUAUCCUAGAUCCACUCUUGAUUGAAUAACAAGUUUUGAGGUAGUUGUCAUGGGCUCAUGGCAAAGGGAAAUAAGUGUUAGAAUUUUGUCUUGAUUUUUUUCUUAUUUGAACUUUUAUUUUUUUUAAAAAAAUAAUUAAAGUAUUAUCAUAAAUGCUAAAAAAAAAUUGAAAGAAAAAUAUAAUUUUUUUUCAUAUUUUUUUUAUUCUUUCUUUAGAGAAAAAUUUGGAUAUCUUGAAAUUGAAGACUUCUAUUCUCAUAGCAUAACACAAUAAAAUCCACAAUAUACACAUUUAAGUAUUUAGUUUAUAGAGAUAUUUAUUAUCUCAAUAGUUUUAAUAUUUUUCUUUUAUAUUAAUUUUCAUAUAAUAAUAUUAUAUUUUUAGUAUAACUUUUUGUUAUCUAAUUUAUUAUGUCUAUAAUUAAUAAUUAUAAACUUGCGCAUUAUACUCUAAUCACUUUCGAACCAAAUAAUAAGGACAUGGUAAUAGCAUGGGGCCCAUUUGUUAGAUUACUGGAAAGAGUGGGGCACCGCACCAUAAAUAGAAUUUAUUUACCCUUUAGAAAAUAGGGUAGGAAUUUUCCAGUGGGACCACGAUUUACUAGCUCACUGAGACAUGACACGUUGCUCAACUGAAAUUUCAAAUUGUACCGUUUUAUUUUGUUUCGUACACCCUAGAAUUAGAAAAGAAAGUCUUUACUUCUACUCUAAGCUUCAAAAUUUCAUCAAUAAUUUCAGUAUUACGUCAUCCCUCUUUUUUCUGUUCUAUAGUUUCGGUGGAAAACUGGAAAUGCCAUGGAAAUUUCCUGUUUGUUAAAUUGAAGGAAAAUGAUUACUUCAACUCUUCUAUAUUUACAGUUUAAUUAAUUUUGUAAUAUUGGAUAUGAAAAUAAUUUUAUCAGUGGAUUCAAUAUUUUCACAGCAAAAUUUAUGAAGUAAUUACAAAUAUUUAUCAAAUAAUAUAUAUAAACAUAAAUUUGUUUAAUAGAAAUUUCACAAUAAAAGGGUAUCAUUAUUCUGUCACUGGUUAUCAUAUUGGGUGUGUUAGACAGGAAGGAACAAUUUUCUCAAAUAUUUUCUUUAAAAAAAUCAGUUCUAACAAAAAUGUAAAUAACAAAUUGCACUAUAACUAAUAACAAAAAUACCAAAUACGAACAAAUUGCACAAAAAUACUUCAAAGCUAUCGUACCCACCAUCCAAUACCCCUACAUCUACAUCUCUAUCCUCACUUUUCCUCUUUAUUUAAAAUAUAUAUUAAUAUAAAUAAAUUGAAUUCUUUCUUUAUAUUGCUGAUACCAAACCACGAACGGAUAACUUGGUCGAAGCAAUUUCGACCUUGUCAAAGAUUCUUUUCCUCUUAUCUCACCAAAGGUCAAGGUUCGUAUAAGGACUAUUAAAAGUCGUUACGCUAAAUGAAAUUAUUCAAUACUUGGAAUAUCUUUUUGGUGUUCAAGUGCUGAAGACAUCUAAAUUCCAAGCUUUAGAAUAACAUGAAUAGUAAAGCAUUUAUCAAAACUUGAGAAUCUAAGUAUCACUUUUCUUUUUUCCUAUCAUUCAUGAUAAGUUAUUCAAAAUUCGAUUAAAUAUUCGCUAAUUCUCAUCUUGUAUUUUUAUUAUAAGUUAUACUAACUAAUAAUUUUUUUCUCGUUGUAUACAUAUGAAUAUGUAUAGACACGAUGAACCUCUACAAAUAAUAAUUAUCCUUCAAAUGAACUCGUAAAAAAUUGGACUACAUGGCAAAAAAUAAGUAGAUUUUUCCUGCUGGUGAAAUAGACGUGAGGCCUACAAAAUUAGUAGGUGUUCCGUUUACUUUACGCCAGUGGAUUUGAAACACAAUUUGUUGGUGAGAAAUUUACUUUUGAACGUCAAAAUAUUUCAAAGUUUAUAAAUGAAUUGGUGGGGUUUAAUUUCCCUUAUUAACUUUUACUGGGUUAGUCAGUCCCAUAGGAAGAUCCAGAAGAAAAAAAAUAAAAGAGAAGGUUAAAAGAGUCUGUUCAUAGGAAGAAAUAAACAAAGAGGACAGUGAAAUGUACAAGAAAAACCAAUGAAAUUCAAGGAAAGCGCAAAGAACACGUCAUGAGCACAAAAAAAACAUAUAAACUUAAAUAACCAUUUACAAAUUGCUUAAAAGAUAAUCAUUUCGUUUUGAUAAUGCAUCGCGACUUGUGAGAAAUUGUUAUAUAAAGCGUGACAUAUAAAACUAAUAAUACGACUACGUAUUUUGUUAUUCGAUAUUCAUAUUUAGAGUUUGAAUUAAUUUAAAUUACACAUGAGAAUUUA
rnacentral:lncRNA from 1 species